rnacentral:piRNA from 1 species
UGUGGGAGACAAACGUGGAUGUGUCAGU